UACGGGGGGGGCAAGCGUUGUUCGGAAUUACUGGGCGUAAAGGGCUUGUAGGUGGCUUGUUAAGUCAGACGUGAAAUCCCUCAGCUUAACUGGGGAACUGCGUCUGAUACUGGCGAGCUUGAGUGCAGGAGAGGAACGCGGAAUUCCAGGUGUAGCGGUGAAAUGCGUAGAUAUCUGGAGGAACACCGGUGGCGAAGGCGGCGUUCUGGACUGCAACUGACACUGAGAAGCGAAAGCCAGGGUAGCAAACGGG
rnacentral:rRNA from 1 species